CCUGGGGAGUGGGACUGCUAGUGGGCGCACGGGACAGGGCGUCCGCUGUGUUUUGGUGCACUCCUUGCACGUAGGUGACAUCUGGUGAAUACCUGGCCAUUCGGAGGCGAAACCUCAAAACCCUCGGGGGCAGCUUAAAGAGGUCUGUGCUUGAGAGAAGGUGUACCAGUGGGCGGUGGUCCGUUUCUAGGGUGAAUGGUGUCCCAAGGAUGUAGUCUGAGAACUUUUCACAUGCCCACGUGGCGGCCAGCGCCUCCUUCUUGAUGACUGCGUAUCGCUUCUCCGUGUCGUUUAGAGAGCGUGAAGCGAAGGCGAUUGGGAGCCGGUUACCGCUGCUGUCGCUUUGCAAGACUGCUUCAAGCCCGUCCUGGCAUCUGACAACGGUAAGCUUGUCUUUGUAAGCUUAUUUACGGAAAAUACUCUUUGAAUAAAUCAACUCAGCUGUUAAGUCGAUGUAGAUUGUACUUCCCAGUGUGUGGUAGCUGUCUGUGGUUCUUGUGUUUCUUUCCAGCUCGGUGAAUUGAAGUCGGCGGUAUGUUGUUCCUUGACUUGAACUAUACUCGCUGAGGUUGAGUUUUUGUGCAGAGUGUCGAGCGGACCGUGUCUCCCACAGUUUUUUUCCUGUUUUUCUUCGGUUUUUCCAACGGAAUGUCCCAGAUAAAACGCUGACUUGUUCACUUGGAUAUUAGGCUGCUAAAAACUGAUUUUUAGCGGGUCCUCAGGGCUGCCACCACAUUGAAGUAUUUUUAACUGCACUUGAUUUCCCUCCUUUUAAGUUGUUGCUGCUUGUAGCUCGUAUGGUAUAGCAUGAACAGAACAGAUGAAGGCUGUGAUGACUGAAGGAUGUUUGUUGUCUUAACUUGAAUAUGCCAUAUGUAAGCUCCUUUGCAAGUUCUUUAGAAUUUUAUUUUAAAUGUUGUACUGAGAACACUGCUUGGUUGAGUUUUGUACAGGACCCGAAAUGAUCCCAGGACCCGAAACAAUCCCAGGACCCCAAACGAUCCCCAAAAGUUCCCCAACUGACCCCGGGACCCUAAACAAUCCCCAGGAGUCCCCGAAAGGAACCCCAAGGAAUUGCAGUAAUGGACAAACAAAAGGAAUGUGGAAGGAUUGGCUUUCAGUUUUAAAAACAUAUGAAACAUUUUAGCGUUAUUUGUGAGUAUCAGAUGCUUUGUGAUGUGUAUUUAUUCAGAAUAAGCUAACGUUUGAGCAGUUGCGGGAUUCCGCGUUACUAUAUACCUAUAAAAAGAUUAUAGGUAUAUAGUAAUGCGGAAUCCCUCAACGGCCCUUAACUGCUCAAACGUUAGAAAUACCGCUUAUUCUGAAUAAAUACACAUCACAAAGCAAUGAGAGUUUAUUGUGACCUUUAUUCUAGGAUAUAAGACAAUUAUAGGACAAUUACAGGAGGUGAUCAAUCGUGAAAAUAUUCGAGCUAGUUACUGGGAUUGACUGGAGACUGACUGAGAGAUUGGUAAGCCUGUGUUUUCACCAUGCUUUUUCACGGCCUCUUCAGGACGGGACGCCGGCAAAAAUUAGCUUGCGCGCGCAAUCGAACGUGCGCGAGGCGGCGUCCUCUUGCCGGCGUCGUGGAUCUAAAUCACCCUAUUGGUAUGGGCCGAUUACAGCAAAGCCUUUGAUACCGUCCAGUUCAAAGCAGUAGUCACCAAAAUGCAUGGACUGGGGUUUCAAAGCAAUUUCUAUUAUGGAUGGUUAACUACUUGACUCAAAAAGAAAACAGCUUGUCCAGAUUGACGACAGGAAAUCGGAGUUGGCAACGGUGGAUUUCGGAGUUCCAUAAGGCUCAAUACUGGGUCCUAUAAUCUUUAAUCUCUAUGUUACUGACCUUCAGAAUGGGUUGGACUGCGAUUGUUAUCAAUACGCUGACAACACAACAUUCUUCGUCAAUUCCAAGCCAUGUGACCUUGACGCUUCGGCCGAGGACAUAAAUCGAGCCAUAAGUGGCCUUAAGGAGUACUCAAUGGAAUGUAACCUUGCAGUCAAUUCAAGCAAGAGCAACUGGAUGCUGAUCUCAACCUCGCAGAUGUCCCGACACCACAGCCUCGACGAGCGGCAACUCCAAAUAACAUGCGGGGAUACAUGUUUGAAGAGGAUCGAGUGUACCAAGCUGUUGGGAGUCCACAUGCAGGGGUGGAUCCAGGGUAGUUUACGUGAGUUCCGGAACACACUCAAAGUUUUUCAGACCAAGUUAUUUUGAACUUAAAUGGCUUUUUAAAAAAUACUCCGAUAUCCCUAGAAACUAUUGGCUUGUCUGUGGAAAUCAUUCGAUCUCCUGUAUUUUUGGUUUUUAAUUAAAUUAAACACGUAAAAAGAUGCCUUAUCGUCUUUAUUAUUCUUAUGCGACUUCACGGAGCGCCCUGGAUCACGAGCUUUGGAUUUGAGCUUCGAUUACUUUUCGGGAACCUUCGGAAAUCCGUCGGAUAAGAUCGGAAAAUAUUGUCACCAAUUUGCAAGCGAGGGGGUGGGUGAGGUGUUAUUAUAGUUAGCCCUGGAACACACUCAAAACCUCGCGCGAUUGGCUGGAAUUUUUUUCAUUGUGUUGGAACUCACUCAAAACCAUUUUUGAUUGGCUAACUCACUUGGAAACCACCGCGGAAACUAUCGACAAAAGUAUAAAAGGGUCUGUACCUCCCCCAACGGUCUUCUUUCGUUUGGCUUCACUAGAGUCUCAGUACUUGUAUCGGAGUUUACGAAGGAAUUAGUUAACAAAUUGCACUAGUUUUUACUCUUUAUGGCUCGUGCUCCUGUCUGUCGGAAGGAGGAUUGUUCUCCCUACGACAUUGGCUUAGUCUUCGACAAGAUCGCCAGCUAUUCGCCUCAGGACAAGUUGAAAUUCAUCGAAAAUGUAUGGAAACCAGAGCUCCAGUUACUGCAGUCCCCAAGGAUGAAAAAGGGGAGUUUUUAUUCAAAUUAUAUUGUCUAUAAUUUGUACAUAUCUUUUGUAUAUGACAUAUGAUAUUAAUAUUGGAUUUUUUUUUUCUUAUUAUCUUGAAAACUCCUGGACCAAGGACCAACCACAGGCUUGCCAUCUAUAAGUACCAUUUUUCCUUCUGCUCAAAGACAGUUAGUAGGCAGCUAUAUUGGACAUAGACCAGUGGCACCGGUUUGGAUACCAGAAACUUUUUGUAGAGCAAGGUGUUCCAUGUACCACCUUCAACAAAAUAAAACUUUUUUUGCCUUUA